rnacentral:rRNA from 1 species
AUUGAACGCUGGCGGCAGGCCUAACACAUGCAAGUCGAGCGGAUGAGUGGAGCUUGCUCCAUGAUUCAGCGGCGGACGGGUGAGUAAUGCCUAGGAAUCUGCCUGGUAGUGGGGGACAACGUUUCGAAAGGAACGCUAAUACCGCAUACGUCCUACGGGAGAAAGUGGGGGAUCUUCGGACCUCACGCUAUCAGAUGAGCCUAGGUCGGAUUAGCUAGUUGGUGAGGUAAAGGCUCACCAAGGCGACGAUCCGUAACUGGUCUGAGAGGAUGAUCAGUCACACUGGAACUGAGACACGGUCCAAACUCCUACGGGAGGCAGCAGUGGGGAAUAUUGGACAAUGGGCGAAAGCCUGAUCCAGCCAUGCCGCGUGUGUGAAGAAGGUCUUCGGAUUGUAAAGCACUUUAAGUUGGGAGGAAGGGCAGUAGGUUAAUACCUUGCUGUUUUGACGUUACCGACAGAAUAAGCACCGGCUAACUCUGUGCCAGCCGCCGCGGUAAAAC